CUCUACUCAUAGCCAUUUUCCAAUACUAGGAAUGGUAAGUGACAAGAUCUUGCAUUGCUUAUGUUACAGAAUCAAAUGUGGUACUACUUCCUUGCAAUAGACUCCUUAAAACCCUAUGGCAAUGAGCUGUCUAAAUAGUGACCGUUGAUUCACUAGUUAAGCUGCAAUCCAUCAGGUCCCUCUAUAUUCCUGCUAUUCCCAAGAAAGACAACAUUAAGAAACUGUCACAGUUCAGUCAAGCAUAUAUUUGAUUUCCAGUUUGUACUGAGGCCAUCUUAAAGUGUUCUGCAAAAAAUAUUUUAUUAGAUGUUCUGGUGACAGUAAAUAAAACUUGCUUAGGUUUCCAUUUCUGCAGUAUAGCCAUGUGAAAAGUAACUCCUGGGAAAUAGCUUCUUUAAUGAUACAGCUUCUUCAUUGAAGAGGAACAUGCCAAUGUUUGUUAGGGGUGCAGGCUUUAACAUUUUACAAACUUAUGAGUAACUUCAUAGAUUCCAACAGAUUCCUUUGUUUUUUCAUCAUAGUCAUUCCAAUCCUAUAAGGAAUUAAGAUUUCACAGUAUUGGUCACAGAAGAGAGAAUGCAGUACUGUCUAAAUUGCAGACUGGAAUUCAAACUGAAACUAAGCCUUACUCAAAGUUUGGGUCUUCCACUUCUGUGGGUAGCACUGUAGAAUCACUAAGCUAAGUUCUAAUUUAUAAGAAAAGCAAAACCUGAAAUUAAACUGAUUUCAGUCCCAGUGUUUAAAUUUAACACACACAAUUUUCUUUGCAUAUAGCCCAUAUCCUGUAAUGGACAAGACAGCAGCCAUGGCAGAUGAAAGGAUUAUUUAUCACUUACAGUAUCCUAGUCAGCAGACAAGCUGAUCCAUGCCAAGUGGGAUACCAAGGAACAGAUUUGACCUUCAGAUUCUUGUGCACAGCCCAGGAAGAUUUACAAUACUAGAGUCAUUAUCCCAAGCUCUGAAGGACAGUGUUUAUCUUACUAUUUAAUAUCUCUGUCCAGAGGAAGAAGAACAAAUAGCACCUUAGAAAAAUCCGUUAACUAGUCUAAAGACCAAAUCAUUUUGUAUUCACGAAUUUGCCCCUUGGGAUUCCUCAGUAGCUUAAAAAGAGAAGUUGCAUCUCUGUCUGCUGAUGAGAUAUAAAACGUGUACUUCUAAAAUGAGGCUGCUAGUAAUACCGGUUAUUCACAUUUGACCUUCCUGUACCUACAUGAAAGAGCAAAACUAGCAUGCAGGGUGUGUAUUUUGGAGUAGGUGACUGGGUGAAAGAAAACUAGCUAAUUAGAUUUACUAAUGAAACUAAGACAACAUACCUUUUCUAACAAGUUUAUGUCAUUGAAAGGUGUGCCAGACUCUGCACCUUCAGCAGCAAAUCCUGCCUGCAAACACAGAUUGCAGUAAGUAUGCAAGAAUCAGUUGUACCAAGAAAAGAGCUAAUUAUGAUUGCUGAAACAUUUAAAGAAAGUAACAUAAGUUUUUACUUUUAUUUCCACUAAAGUAGGUAGAAAGAAUGGUCAAAUCCUUUCCUUCUCAAGGGUCAGUAUAAGGUUGUGACUCUUUUCGUAGACUGGAAAAUUCAGAUCUAACCAGCAACAGAAUAAAAUAAGGGCAACCUGCUCCCUAACUACUUUUCUUGCCAAAAAGGUACUUCCAUAGACAAGAUUCUAAAAUAAUGUCAUCUCUGAGUUUAAAUUUAUCUAGCAGCAUCCAACUGUUAAUAGCUUUGAUUCAUGUUCAGAACCCAGAUAGGUAUUAGUUACACAAUAGCUUUGUAUUAAAUUUACCUGCAAGACAAAAAAGGGGAAGACAGCUUUUAGUUUUAGCUUAAAUAUCAGAAUCCUACUCCUUUUGGAAAAGGAACCAGCCUAGAUGAAAUUUAGGUACAUAAGGGGCUAACAAGCCUCAUGCAAAAGAAAGAUCAGUCAGCUGAAUGACAGAUUAGCAAUACCCCAGAACAAUAUUUCAAAAGGGAGCAAUCCUCAUUUUUCUUUUUUGUAAAGAGGUAAAGGAAAGGCUAUCGCUGGAAAGGAAACACCAAAUCAAUGGGGCAUAGUAUGAGAACCCGGCACAGAAACUACUGAUACGACCUUAUGGAAAGUCAGAAAGAACAGCUGUAUGCUUUUAAAAUGUUUGUGGAAGGUUAGGUACUUGAGUUAAACACACCACAAUGUGCAGCAGACAUAACAGGAGAGCUAUCUGCAAGGCACAGUGCACAGUGUGAAUAUGGCCCAUAUAUAUUUCUCAGAAGCUUUUCUGAAGGGAUCCAGUAGGGGUAUGGAGGGAGAACAGCAUCACAGUACAAAAUGCAGAGCUGCAGUAAGACUGAAAAAAGAAAAAAAGAAGAGAAAAAAGCAAUGAGAAGCUGGCAAUAUUUACCAGCACUCCAAGGAGCAAGAAACCAUGUGACUGGAAUUACAAGCUUCUGUACCAGACCUGCUCAGUGGGACUUGCAUUCUUACAGCUUUGGUAUCAGAGCAGACACUUAAUCUCUGUUGAAGAGAUCUGGGAAAUGCAGUGAUUUGUGUGCCCUCUGCUGACUGGCAAAGGACCAACAGCUACAGUGUAAAUGUGUGUAGAAGCUGCAAAUACCUCUGUUGACUUUGUAGUAAGUAGAUAGUCAUGUUUUUUAUUUUGUUACCAAUGUAACUUGGUUUUGCCACAAAGUAAAGCAACUGAAAAAAGAUUUAAAGGAAUUUAUAUUAUAAAUUCCUGCUUUUUUAGUGGAAGCAUUCACUUGUGGGAUGACAAGGAAAGGAAGGGAGCGAAACAGUCUAAAAGCAAACCCCCAAACUUUAACAAAUCCACAGUAGAUGUUUCUAUCAAGUACACUAAACAAUUUAAUUGACUUCAGGUAGGCUUGUGUUAUGCUUAUCAAAAAAAGAAAGGAAUGCUAUGGCCAAUCCUGCUUGGCCAGAUCUAAAACUGUGCAGAAGCCAGGCUAGCUUAGAUCAUGUCAAAUAUAAAGCAGUUUAUAGACUUGUAAGGAACUGUACUAAGUCUGUAGUACUCAUUCAAGUAUCAGAAAAUUCACUGAAAUAUCUGUGUAGGAAUUAAACAGUGCUCUCUCCAACAGAGUGCACAGGCCAAAUUUUGGAAAUAUUUAAUUAAAAGCUUGAUUAUAGCUGUGAAGUCUAUAUUCUGUGGAGCUGACUGAUUAAAUUGAUAAGAAGGAUGCAGAUCUAUGAAUACCUCCUAUAUCUUGUAGUCUUCUAAGUGCCAGUUUUCUAUAUCUGGCUUGCAAACAUUUUGAACAGAAAUAAAAAUUCUGUUCCUCAAAAAGAUUGGUUUAAUUUCAAAAGAAAAAAAAAUGAAACUUUCUGCAGCACAAUGCAGCGGCCUUUUUAUUUAUAUCUAAUUCCUUGCAGGAUCAGCUCUUUGGUCUGUUUGUUAGAACACUGUCACAGUCUGAGGGAAGGAUAAGACAGGUUUAUAUUUGUCAGUCUAUUUACACCUAAUCCUACUGGAAUAAUAGGUUAAAUAUAGUAGGGAGUUAGUUGCAUAUCGCAUGACCAUGCACAAGUAAAUGAGUUGCUGUAGGCUGGCUUGGCCCUGAAGAAAUACUUUACAUUGAACUUUGAGGUAUGCUUUGCAACACAGAGUUUUUAAUUGCCUUCAGUCGUCAGUCUUGGUCUGAUAAAUAGAAAGAUGCUAAUGUUCAUUUCCCAUGGCUUUGGUGAUGUCAAAUCUUAACGAGAGUUUGAUUUAGUUAGAAGCCAAACGCUGAAGGAUGUUCAUAACCUGAACUUCAUUUACUCUUUGUAACAUACCAAUAACCAAAGUGAAGCUCUUCUAAAUAUGGCCAGCUAACUGUGCAAUCCUGUGAUUCCUGUUUGGGAAAGACAAGACACCCUUUUGCAAUAACUUCUGCAAUGAAGACCUUUUGAAUCAGUUAAGUGAGCUGUGCUGAGUCACCUGUAAGGCAAUUUGAACACAAGUACAAAGAGUGUUUUAUUUUAGAAGUUACUGGGACACAAGCACAAAGAACGCCAGAGCUAUUAGGCUUCAAGCUUGUGUUUUAUGGAGCGGGAGGAAGUAAAAUAAUUGUGGGGAGGAAUUAAAACUGGAGAGGUCCAGGACAUUCCAGGAAGAGCAGUGUUAUUUCAAAACAGUGUGAGAUAAUCCCUCUAGAGUCUAUUAGAAAUGCUUUUAAAAACUGAGAAACACGUCAUGAAUAAGAAUUUACCUGCGGCUGAAAGUCAACUGGUUCCAGACCCCGGCAUUCAAACUCCACUAUUGUCUUGAAUUUCUCACUGUCUUCAGCCUAGAAUCAAGUGAGAAUGCCAUAAAUUUUCAUCUAAAGAGAAAGUUAGUGGCAAGUAUUAGACUAGGAAUAAAUUGCUUUAAAGGCAGUUCUAUCAACUCUGAUGUCCCAAGUGACAGUAAAAUCCUAGGGCUGCUUUAAACAGGCAAUAAUUAACUAGAAUUUCUUAAUCUGCCAUGAGGAAGCCUUCAAAAAGAAAUGAAUACAGGCAGUGUAAUUGUCUUUAAUUUGAAUGACAUUUUUUUUUUCUUGUGAAAUGUAUCACAUUAUUCCAUCAGACUGAAGUGGAAAGGGUAAAAUCAUUAAUGAGCUACUGUUAAUUGCAAAUUUUUGUUCCUUCUUUAGAUUGUGUGCAGAAUUCUGCAAGAAACAACUUUCUAUCAGGGAGCAUGCCUGCUUUUGGUGUACUUCAGUACACUAAAUAUGAUGGGAAAGAAUGGAAAAUUCAAAAUAUCAUUAAUCCUUAUUUAUCUUGCACGUAUUGAUAUAAAAGGGAAAACAAACUUACAUUGUAAGGUUUGAUGGUCUGACUUAAAAUAUCUAUGGAAAAAAAAAGUCAGAGGUGUAAACACAAAUGGCAUUACAUCUUUAGAAUUUUAUUCAGCAGAAACCAAAGACCAGCCUCUUCUCCUUUAGAAAAAUCUUUUUAUGCAAAGUAAAAGAACCAAAGUAACCAAGCAUUUCUUCCAGUUAGUUCAUCAAAGGGUGGAACUCAAUUCUUCUCACUACUCCUGAAAAGCGUAAGUUAUGCUGUCUUGGUACCCUACUUAAAAAGAAAAUAGCAAUGCAUGCCUUUGUAAAAUGACACUAAGAAUAUGAGCUUUGCUCAUGCAAAAAGCUGAUAACACCAUGAGGCCUGAGUACACACAAGCUUUAGGACUGAAUCCAUGAGUCACCACUCUACAACUCUUGUCUAUGCAUCUCCAGCUCCACCCGUGAAACUGCUUUUGUUGAAAUAAUGCAGAAUAGCAGAAAACCUGCAAGUAACUUGCAAAACUUUAUAUAUAGUUUACUAUUGUUUUAUGCCUUUCAUAGGAAUUUUAACUAGUUGACUUGCCCAUCGUAGAUAUUUUUCCAGCAUCACCUUCUUUCCUUUUAUGCUACCAUCAUUUGUAUUUGUAUUUAUGUGUAUGUAUCUUUAUAAUGCUGCACCUCAAUCCCCGUGGAGAGAAAAUCCUAAGUAAAGGCGGCUGUGAUGGACAGACUGUAAUGGAAAAAAACAGAUGUGAGAGCCUGGGUCACUUGAUCAGUAUGCAGCUAACGUCUCUUUAAAUUAAGCUAUUUGCUAGAUAUAGAUUAAAGGAAAAUUAAUACGACCCAUUCAUUUAUGAACCAUACCAAUUUUCUAUCUUAAAAGGGACUGAUUUUCAGGACCUAUUUCAGAAAAGAUAAUAGAAAAAUACACUUAUCAUAAGCAAAAAGGUCUCAAUGUUAUUUCUUAAAGUUUAUUAAAAAAAAAAAAAUCUAGGAGACUAAGACAGAACCCAGUGGGAUUAUUUUGUUGGGGAAGGCAAAACACAUGCGUGUUCCUUAUUAUUGUUUCUCAUAAUAUAGAAACAGGAAAUCAUACAGAGAGACUGAAAGGCAAAAAGCUUAUGAAACAAGUAACAUACAUUUACACCAUGGGUAUAGGUUGAAUUGCUGGAAACAGGCAUGCUUCUCUGUGAAGAUAAACACAUGCUAGGUAGGAAAUAUCUCUCUGAUGAUGGAAGUGUGUUUAUUUAGGGAAAUUAUCCCUCUAACUUCCCCAUCUAUUCCUGCCUAUGACAACCCAGGGCAGGAUGGAUACUGACUAUGUAGUUACAUCAGGCUGCUUUUUUUUCUUAGAGGUAAGCAGUAUUUCAUAUCUCUGUCACCCCUACAGAAGAAUUAAAACAAUGAUAACAUCUAAUGUUAUCGGUUAAGGACUUUAUUUUACCUAUUACAUUUAAGCAACUAUUUUAAAUGGGACCAUGUUUAUUAACAGCUCAUACUACUGCUGUUAGUAGGAAAAAUAUGAAUUGUUGUUAGUUUUAGCAACCUAAUGUGCUGCAAAGCUGGCAAAGGUUGCUCCUGUUGCCCUGCUGUGUUGAUUUAAUUUGAUUUUUUUUGUUGUUGUUGAUGACCGCUUGAUCUUGCGGUCUCCUUCAUGAGCAUGAUGACAAGUGUGUACCUGCUGUGGACCCAAAACCAGUGUACAAAUGGAAAAAAAAAAAAGAAAAAAGGAAGAGUGCUCUCACAAGCAGUUUUAGGCAAAAACUUGGACUAAAAAGUAAACCUAGAAGAUGCCCUGUAAAUGUCUAACCACAUACCAAUGGAGUUCUCUCUGGAGCACAGCUUGCAUUUCUGCACCAUUGUGGCACUGCCUCUGCCUCCUUUUAGAGGAACGCUGUCCUAAAAAACAUGAGAAUGGAGACACCAUUUCAAACUGCGCUGUAGCUGAGCAACUGGAAACCUUUGCAAAGGACUGAGGCUCGCAAGAGGAAAGGACAGAUAGUCCUGUGUUUGGGACAGAAGACUGAUGUUCCUAAGUGAAUGUGAAAAGUCAUUCCAUCUCUCUGCCUCUGCCCCUUCAGCUGUCGAUGCGCUGACUUGAACUAGUCCGUAGGCCAGCGGGAGAGGAUGUGCCCUUUGAAGCACUAGAUGGACCGCAAACGCUACGGAGCACAGUCACUGAGUAACGGAUGAGGGUAACUACAUUUCACCAUUUACCUGAACUGUCAGCCAAACCCAGGGGGCACUGAUUAACACUGGAAUUUAAGAAUUUUAAUUAUAGUAAACUAAGAUAUAAUGUAGUAUAUAUACAUGCAUGUAUGUGUAUUUACAUUU